rnacentral:rRNA from 1 species
GACGAACGCUGGCGGCGUGCUUAACACAUGCAAGUCGAACGGAAAGGCCCUGCUUUUGUGGGGUGCUCGAGUGGCGAACGGGUGAGUAACACGUGAGUAACCUGCCCUUGACUUUGGGAUAACUUCAGGAAACUGGGGCUAAUACCGGAUAGGAGCUCCUGCUGCAUGGUGGGGGUUGGAAAGUUUCGGCGGUUGGGGAUGGACUCGCGGCUUAUCAGCUUGUUGGUGGGGUAGUGGCUUACCAAGGCUUUGACGGGUAGCCGGCCUGGGAGGGUGACCGGCGACAAUGGGACUGAGGUACGGCCCAGAGUCGUACGGGAGGCAACAGUGGGGAAUAUUGCACAAUGAGCGGAAGCCUGAUGCAGCAACGCCGCGUGCGGGAUGACGGCCUUCGGGUUGUAAACCGCUUUCGCCUGUAACGAAGCGUGAGUGACGGUAAUGGGUAAAGAAGCACCGGCUAACUACGUG